rnacentral:tRNA from 1 species
AUAGCUCAGUUGGUUAGAGCGCCACGUUGACAUCGUGGAGGUCGGCGGUUCAAAUCCGCCU